rnacentral:rRNA from 1 species
CACGAAGUUAGCCGGGGCUUCUUCUCACGCUACCGUCAUUAUCGUCGCGUGCGAAAGAGCUUUACAACCCUAAGGCCGUCAUCACUCACGCGGCAUGGCUGGAUCAGGCUUGCGCCCAUUGUCCAAUAUUCCCCACUGCUGCCUCCCGUAGGAGUUUGGGCCGUGUCUCAGUCCCAAUGUGGCUGAUCAUCCUCUCAGACCAGCUACUGAUCGUCGCCUUGGUGGGCCAUUACCCCACCAACUAGCUAAUCAGACGCGGGCCGAUCCUUCAGCGAUAAAUCUUUCUGCUCUCGCACGUAUCCGGUAUUAGCCCAAGUUUCCCUGGGUUAUUCCGAACUGAAGGGCACGUUCCCACGCGUUACUCACCCGUCUGCCACUGACCCUAAAAGGGCCCGUUCGACUUGCAUGUGUUAAGCCUGCCGCCAGCGUUCGUUCUGAGCCAGGAUCAAACUCU